rnacentral:rRNA from 1 species
AUCUAUGGCCAUACCACCCUGACUGUGCCCGUUCCCAUCCGAUCUCUGAAUCUAAGCAAGCCAGACGUGGUUAGUACUCAGAUGGGAGAUUUUUACUACGGUUGGGA